rnacentral:misc_RNA from 1 species
AAGUCGUAACAAGGUCUCCGUUGGUGAACCAGCGGAGGGAUCAUUACCGAGUUUACAACUCCCAAACCCCUGUGAACAUACCUAUACGUUGCCUCGGCGGAUCAGCCCGCGCCGCGUAAAACGGGACGGCCCGCCCGAGGACCCCUAAACUCUGUUUUUAGUGGAACUUCUGAGUAAAACAAACAAAUAAAUCAAAACUUUCAACAACGGAUCUCUUGGUUCUG